GCCGCCGUAGCUCAGUCGGUCAGAGCGCCAGCCUUGUAAGCUGGUGGUCGCGAGUUCGAUUCUCGCCGGCGGCUCCA
rnacentral:tRNA from 1 species